GGGGUCUGAACUGCUGCAGUUCAAAGGCUGUCUGCUGAUUAGCACCCUGAAGAGAGCAGGGAAAAUAUCCCUCAAGGCUUUUAACCUUCUGUGUGGGGACCAUAAUCCAAAUCGUCCAUUUACAUUUUGAUGAAUAAUGUGGAGCUGCAGAACCCUUAGCUCUCUGGGGAAUGUCAGUGAUAAUGUGAAAAGGGUAAAGAGGAGUUGCUGAUUGGAGAAGUUGUUGAGCUCCUCUACUGCCACAGCCACUGCCACAGCCACAGUGAACACAGUUAUGGCCAACAUUUGUCCCAAGGCACCCACGAGCAAGUGGGAAGUAAAAGAGUGUUCAGUGAGAACAGCGAAUCCUGACUACUCUCUUCCAAAUGUGGAUGAGGAAAAAAAGCCCUGAACCUGAGAAAUUGAUGUGACUCCAUUUUUGAAAAAACUAGCCUCUACCUCAGAGCAAGGCCUGUCCAAAGGUGGGAGGGGGAUGACCCAGCGUUCCUAGGCACAUAGCCACCCUGCUGAGUUAUUUGUCUAUAAAUAACAGGAAAGACCUGCGGAGCCAGAUACCCCUAAAGGCAGUGACCAGAUAUCCUUGACUCAGCAAUGCAAGACCAAAGAAUGCUUGAGACCUAAUUCCGGACCAUAGCAACAACCAAUUAGAGUGAGGCAGGGAACAUAUCUGAAAUGCCAGGUGACCCGUCCAAUAGUUUCAGUGAUUGAUAACAUGAUUAUGUAACCCUGCAGUUUAGCAUAUACACUCUUGAAACCCCUCCCAGCCUAAACCAAUCAGUUCAAAUGUAUCCCCCUCUUGAACUAACUUGUUCCCACCAGUGAAUGUACUAAUCAAUGUUAAGAGUCCUUGUUUGAUUUUCCCAUGAAAUGAUUUGCUGUGUGAUAUUGUGACGCAUAGAGUAUCCC
rnacentral:lncRNA from 1 species